UACGGAGGGUGCAAGCGUUGCUCGGAAUUAUUGGGCGUAAAGGGUAGGUAGGUGGUCUCAUUUGUCUGGGGUGAAAGCCUUGAGCUUAACUCAAGAAGUGCCCCAGAAACGGUGAGACUGGAGUCCUGGAGAGGGUCGUGGAAUUCCCGGUGUCGCGGUGAAAUGCGUAGAGAUCGGGAGGAACACCAGAGGCGAAAGCGGCGACCUGGACAGGCACUGACACUCAACUACGAAAGCGUGGGGAGCAAACAGG
rnacentral:rRNA from 1 species